CCAGUUCCUCAAACUCACACUGAACCGGAGCAACAUCCAGAACAACAGACACAUGAGCUUGAUUUGCUGAAUGUGAAUAGAGUGAGAGUCCUUUCUGUCUCCGGACUCGCUCAGCAAACUUCCUCUCAAAAACAAAUACAGGAACCUGUUCAACACCAUCUUCUGUUCGGCCAGGUUAAGCUCACUCAUAGACAGAGAGUUUGUGUGUCCAAUAACCAACUUAAAAUACCUGCUGCUAACACGAUCUCUGUGUUUUCUCCGUUUGGUUCAUCAGCUGGAUUCUUCUCUUGGACAGAUUGCAGCGUCUGAUGCUGCUCUGGUAAUAGAGUUAGCAAAAUACUUGCUGGACCUUUCGAAAGAGCAACCCAGCAAACAUUGGUCCGACGGCGACGUCGUGUGGCCGGCCAAAAAUAGUCGCGGUAGGACGGCAUAAAUCGGUAGAAAUAUGUAACACAGAACAUUUCCUUAAAAUGCAUUCAGAUAUGUUUGUACACGUUUAUAGUUCUAUGGGGUUUCAUGUAUAAUUGUUUCUUUGACUUUUAGAUAAGUGUAGUUCAAUAUUUACCCGCGUUGUGAAUCGGUUGUGAGAGGACGUCACCUAGUGACGUCAUUUACACGUGCGUUACACGUCCAUCAUGACCCUCUGUGAAAUCCUUGUGGAAUAUGCAAAAGCUGUGCUUACACCUUGAUUAAUACUGCAAUAUUUAAUUAAAGUGCACCAAGUAGUUUUUAAGGUUUUAAAGAGGUUGUGAAUAGACGUCCACUGACGUCUUUUACACGUCUCGUCAUGGUUUGUGAGAAGAUGUCCAAGCAAGACUAGCAGGAAUAAAAAAUUAUAUACAAAGUAAAUAUAUUCACUUCAUCUUGUUUAAAAAAAUUAUAAUCACAAAGAGCCCAGCGUAGUUAAGUGAUUGCAAAGCAAUGCUGCAAUUUAGUCAUUAUUUCAACCUGUUUUGUUGUUAUUAUUUUUAUUGAAUCUAUGCAUAUACAUGUAAAACAGAUAUAUACCCGGUCACAAUUUCGGUCUGAGUUGGAUGUAAUUGACAAAACGGUGCUGCCAAGAUGUAGACACAAAACAUACUGAUAUAUUUCGUGAUAUUACAAAAUCCCCGCGAUAGGAUAGAUUAUCUCGCGAGAUCUCGCUUUCUUCCGGAAGUUCAGGUACAUUAAGCAGGCAACCACCACGAGGAGGAGAGGACUCGAAGAGGACUCUUGGAGCGAGAUUUGUGGAUAUAAAUUACAUAAAAUCUACCGUGGGAUGCUGUGAAGAGGUGGAGACUCUGAAUGGGAUGCAGCAAUGACAGAACACCUGAAGCUCGCUCCAGGAAGAGAUGGGGGUGGAGGUUACAAGAAAUGAGCCAAACAACUGUAGUGUGUUUAAGGGAUAGUUCAUCCAUAAAUGAAAAUAGUCAUAAUUUUCUCACCCUCAUGUUACGAUCAUAAUAAUUUUUCCUACAGUGGCAGUUAAUGGAUUGUGAGAUCUGCUUGGUUACAAACAUUCUUCCAAAUAUCUUUGUGUUUAUAACACAACUGUGUAAGUCAAU